rnacentral:rRNA from 1 species
UACAGAGGAUGCAAGCGUUAUCCGGAAUGAUUGGGCGUAAAGCGUCUGUAGGUGGCUUUUUAAGUCCGCCGUCAAAUCCCAGGGCUCAACUCUGGACAGGCGGUGGAAACUACCAAGCUGGAGUACGGUAGGGGCAGAGGGAAUUUCCGGUGGAGCGGUGAAAUGCGUAGAGAUCGGGAGGAACACCAGUGGCGAAGGCGGCUACCUGGACCAGCACUGACACUGAGGCACGAAAGCGUGGGGAGCAAACAGG